AAAUUUGUUUCAAAACUAUUCAGCGCUCGGGAAACACAACAAAUUUACAAAAACAUGUUCGCACGCAUCCAGAGUUUGCUAAAAGUGACAUUCAAAAUGAUGGGCAAAAGAAGCUACCUGGUUGCAGUUCAGCGGUAGAGGUCCAAAGCAAAAUUACUUCUCCCAGUGCUAAUAGCGAUUCAAGCGGGCGUCAAAGCUCUCCGCCAUUGGCAGUUACUCCAAAAACAAGUGGGAAAAAACAGCAGCGGUUGGGGGAUUGUCUAAAAAAACGAGAUCGCAAAUAAAAUGGGCACGGUUUUCAUGAAAAUGUUGAAGUAAAACUUCUUUGCGCUCGGUAAAUCGAAACGCGAGGAAACGUCAAAGCUACAGAAGAAGUUAUAGGACGGUGACCUUUGUUGGGGAGGAUAAGAUUAAGGUUGAGAUUAAACUUAUAACUU